rnacentral:rRNA from 1 species
UACGGAGGGAGCUAGCGUUGUUCGGAAUUACUGGGCGUAAAGCGCACGUAGGCGGCUUUGUAAGUUAGAGGUGAAAGCCUGGGGCUCAACCCCAGAAUUGCCUUUAAGACUGCAUCGCUUGAAUCCAGGAGAGGUGAGUGGAAUUCCGAGUGUAGAGGUGAAAUUCGUAGAUAUUCGGAAGAACACCAGUGGCGAAGGCGGCUCACUGGACUGGUAUUGACGCUGAGGUGAGAAAGCGUGGGGAGCAAACAGG